rnacentral:rRNA from 1 species
CCUACGGGGGGCAGCAGUGGGGAAUAUUGGACAAUGGGGGGAACCCUGAUCCAGCCAUGCCGCGUGUGUGAAGAAGGCCCUCGGGUUGUAAAGCACUUUCAGUGAGGAAGAACGCCUGGUGGUUAAUACCCAUCAGGAAAGACAUCACUCACAGAAGAAGCACCGGCUAACUCCGUGCCAGCAGCCGCGGUAAUACGGAGGGUGCGAGCGUUAAUCGGAAUUACUGGGCGUAAAGCGCGCGUAGGUGGCUUGAUAAGCCGGUUGUGAAAGCCCCGGGCUCAACCUGGGAACGGCAUCCGGAACUGUCAAGCUAGAGUGCAGGAGAGGAAGGUAGAAUUCCCGGUGUAGCGGUGAAAUGCGUAGAGAUCGGGAGGAAUACCAGUGGCGAAGGCGGCCUUCUGGACUGACACUGACGCUGAGGUGCGAAAGCGUGGGUAGCAAACAGGAUUAGAUACCCUUGUAGUC